CAUGUUAUAAGACAUGAUCAUUACCGAUUAAUUUCAGUCACUGUAUCCGAAUGAUACGACAAGCCGCCUUUGAUUGAUUGAUUGAUGUUCCAUGGAACAUUCGUAUUACAGAGGCUAGCUACUAGGGCUACUAGCUAGCUUCCGAUGCGGAAAGAAGAAGAAGAAAGGGGAAUGAAAUCAGUAGCUGUGUAGGCUAGCAGUCUGCCGCCGAUCUCGUCGGCCUUCGGCGCAGGACGUCACCCAGCGGCCUGCAGACGAAUCAAGAGGACCAUGUUAGAUAGUUACUACAGUUUACUGGUGGAUCGAUCGGCCUGAUCACGGGAGCUUAAUCACCUAGGAGGUGGGAUCGGAUUCGGCGGGGAGCUGCUGCAGCGGAGGCGGCUGCGGGUCCUGGUGGUCGUGGAGGAGCGCGCGGGUCUCGUGGAUCCGGAAGCGGGUGGCGGCCACCACCCGCUUGAG
rnacentral:lncRNA from 1 species